CAUUAGAGAAGCUACAUAGCGUUAACCUUUUAAGUUAAAGACUGGGAAUCCUAACUUCCCCUCAAUGA
rnacentral:tRNA from 1 species